rnacentral:rRNA from 1 species
UACGUAGGGGGCAAGCGUUGUCCGGAUUUAUUGGGCGUAAAGAGCGUGUAGGCGGCUUGGCAAGUCUGCUGUGAAAACUCGAGGCUCAACCUCGAGCUGUCGGCGGAAACUGCUUGGCUAGAGUCCGGAAGAGGAGAGUGGAAUUCCUGGUGUAGCGGUGAAAUGCGCAGAUAUCAGGAAGAACACCUAUGGCGAAGGCAGCUCUCUGGGACGGUACUGACGCUGAGACGCGAAAGCGUGGGGAGCAAACAGG